GACGAACGCUGGCGGCGUGCUUAACACAUGCAAGUCGAACGGAAAGGCCCUGCUUGCAGGGUACUCGAGUGGCGAACGGGUGAGCAACACGUGGGUGAUCUGCCCUGCACUUCGGGAUAAGCCUGGGAAACUGGGUCUAAUACCGGAUAGGAGCCAUUUUUAGUGUGAUGGUUGGAAAGUUUUUUCGGUGUAGGAUGAGCUCGCGGCCUAUCAGCUUGUUGGUGGGGUGAUGGCCUACCAAGGCGGCGACGGGUAGCCGGCCUGAGAGGGUGGACGGCCACAUUGGGACUGAGGUACGGCACAGACUCCUACGGGUGGCAGCAGUGGGGAAUAUUGCACAAUGGGCGCAAGCCUGAUGCAGCGACGCCGCGUGGGGGAUGACGGCCUUCGGGGUGUAAACUCCUUUCGCUAGGGACGAAGCUUUUUGUGACGGUACCUAGAUAAGAAGCACCGGCUAACUACGUG
rnacentral:rRNA from 1 species